AAGAUGAUCGUGGAUAGCAUGCGGCUCGGGAGAUCCGCGGCGGAGAAAGUCCCUAUCGGUUUACCGUUCAUGUCCGCGAGAUCAUACGAGCUGGUGCCCCUUUUACUGAGGACGAUACAAGGAAUAUACUGAGGCCCUAGUUUGGCGUUGUACUUUUGGCCAGCCGAUGACUGACGAAAAUUGCGCUUGAACACACGUUGACCCGGUUGAAAUGAGGCGAUCGAGUUUAUUCCGGCAGCCAACAUCGCAGUUCUACAAUCUUCCCUGGUGUUACGGAACAACGUUUCAAAUUUACGACGGUCAUCCCACGGUUCGGACAUACAACGAAAAAUACGGACAACAUCAAGCUUUCAACCAUUCUCGUAAUGAGCGUUCCUUACUGCCGCGCCCCCUUCCGGACACGUUUAUUCGUCGGAUACGCAAUUCGUGAUCAAGUUCGUGAUCAGAAAGAUGUGCUGGAUUUAUAGAAAAAUACUGUUCUCGCAACUGGGAUUCCAUCUUGCGGACGAUUCAAAAAUGAAUACUAUAGAUAAUAAUCUACGAGAACGCCAAAAGAAAUCUUAAUUGGAAUGACAGAAGCUAAUAAAUAUAAAGUCGAUAUGAUAAAAUUAAAAUUGCAUGAACACCACAAA